UAAUAUCGUCAUAUAGAAUUCUUACUCCAUAACUUGAUUUAUGACUUAGAACUUACUGAAAAUGUCUCAAGUGGCUCAAGACCAAAAUAUGGACAUGACUUGGAACCAAUAUAUGACCAAAAUGGGUGGGAUCCCUUUUGCUGCUGUUUUAAGUGGUCUCUCCCAAAUUCUGUUGUAGGCAGCACAGUGGAUAAGAGGGCUGGGCUUGAAGUCAAGAAGGAAUCCAACUUCUGCCUUUGACACUUAUAAGUUUACUGCAUCACGGACUUAUGGAAUCUAUAAGCUCAAAGAGACCCUAGAGAUCGUCAGUCACUCUAAUGUCCCACCCCUGGGAUGGAUGAAAGCAUAUAUAAAUAAGAGCCCUUGUUCAGAACCCUUGGGAGGUAGGUUGCUCAGCGCCACCCUUGUGCCCAGCUGCUAAAGAUCAGACCUGUCAAAACAAUGGAAAUCCUGCUCCUACUUAGCCUUUGUCCUACUUUUCCUUUCCAGAUACCACAUAAGCAAUUUCUCAGUGCUACAGGUAUUAAAAGGUAGGCAAACCACUUCUGGCAUCUAACAUAAAGAUAAAUAUCAUAUAGAAGAGGUUCUUCUACACUAAUGCUAG
rnacentral:lncRNA from 1 species